rnacentral:rRNA from 1 species
GACGAACGCUGGCGGCGUGCUUAACACAUGCAAGUCGAACGGUAAGGCCCUUCGGGGUACACGAGUGGCGAACGGGUGAGUAACACGUGGGUGAUCUGCCCUGCACUUCGGGAUAAGCCUGGGAAACUGGGUCUAAUACCGGAUAGGACCACUGCCUGCAUGGGUGGUGGUGGAAAGCUUUUGCGGUGUGGGAUGGGCCCGCGGCCUAUCAGCUUGUUGGUGGGGUGAUGGCCUACCAAGGCGACGACGGGUAGCUGGCCUGAGAGGGUGACCGGCAACACUGGGACUGGGAUACGGCCCAGACUCCUACGGGAGGCAGCAGUGGGGAAUAUUGCACAAUGGGCGCAAGCCUGAUGCAGCGACGCCGCGUGAGGGAUGACGGCCUUCGGGUUGUAAACCUCUUUCAGCACCGACGAAGCGCAAGUGACGGUAGGUGCAGAAGAAGGACCGGCCAACUACGUGCCAGCCGCCGCCGUAA